AGUGUGGGCAGUCUGCCUCCAGGAGAGAGCGCCUCCAUCAGGCUGGAGUACGUCACUGAGCUGGCUGUGCAGGCUGAUGACGGGCUGAGGUUUUGUCUGCCUGCUGUGCUCAACCCUCACUACCAACCUCAGGCCAGUAUGUUGAUCAGGAACCCUCAGUCUUCAGUUUUAGUGCACAUCACACCUGUUUAAACAGUGUUUUAUUACACCAGUCACAUGCCCAUCCUCUUACAAAAUGCUUUUUUCUCUACUCUGAGCAAACAGUGUCUGGAAACUUCUGUUAUGGGCCAUAAACAGUUUUUCAGCUUCCCAAAAUGUACAGUGUGACCACAGAACCAGACAUGACACUUCUGGUACAUAGAACAAAGUAGGUCUCUGCCAAAACUGGCACUCUGAUGGGUGACCCAGUAGUGAUGCUCAGCCUGUACCCUGAGUUCCCUCAGGCUGUGAUGUCUUCAGUCAUUUCGUGUGAAGAGUUUGUGUUUUUACUGGAUCGAUCUGGGAGCAUGGAUUGUUGUACCAACAACAGCAAGCCGCAAGAAACUCGCAUUCGUAGUGCCAGGGUAUUCAGCUAGUGUUAACUUCAUCCUAAAGUCACUGAUAUUGUCCCUCUCACACAAAAAUCUUCACUCUCAUUUUUCUCUUAAUGUUACGUCCAUGGCCCAGGCCACCCCCAGCAACUCCAGCACCUCAUUAGCUGGCAGAGGUAGUCCCGGCAGCUCCACCCCCACACAGGUGGGAGCGUGUUCCAGGUGGCAAGGCACACUUGCUCUCAAUUAUCAGAGCAGUAUUUAAGGCGAGCGUUGGUGUGUCCUCAUCGCCAGAUGAUCUCCUGUAACCCUGCUGGUGGCGUUGCCUUAGAUUCAUGUCUAGAGCCUAAGUGGAUGAGCUGCUUCCCUGUUUUUGAGGCUGACCUUAUAUUGUGGAACUAUACUUUCUACUUUUGAAUAUUUUUGCGUCGUUGUUUUUUGAAGGGUUGCUUUGUGUUUGGAACUGUGUUCACCUCUAUCGGGUUGGCUUCGGCCGUUUUUGUUUUUUCUUUCCUCACUGCCAAAUGGGGCCGGGACUCUAGGCAGAGCUCCUCAGUGCAAGGAGGCCUGCUCUUGCUGUGGUUCUGGAUCUCUACUGUUACCUUCGUCUCAUCAUCCUACUGACUGCUCUGUUGUGGUUCAGCUUACCGGACCAGCGAUCUCCUGCCCAGAGCCGGCACACUCAGCUAAUCAGCAAGCUGCACCUCGCCUCCUGUCCCGGGUUGCAUCUCCAGCAGUCCAGUCCCGCCAGCGAUCCCAGCUGCCCCGCGACCGGCUGAAGAGACCAGCUUGGUCAACUUCCCCUCUAUACAUUCAUUAAAAUAUACAUGCACUUUAUAUAGCCUGAGUCCGAGUCCUGCAUGUUUCUGAGUCCGAUCCCGCACUACCAA